GGGGAGGUUCCCGAGUGGCCAAAGGGAACAGACUGUAAAUCUGUCGGCGCUAGCCUUCGGAGGUUCGAAUCCUCCCCUCCCCA
rnacentral:tRNA from 1 species